rnacentral:rRNA from 1 species
GACUACAUGAAGCUGGAAUCGCUAGUAAUCGCGGAUCAGAAUGCCGCGGUGAAUACGUUCCCGGGUCUUGUACACACCGCCCGUCACACCAUGGGAGCCGGUAACGCCCGAAGUCAGUGACCCAACCGAGAGGAGGGAGCUGCCGAAGGCGGGACAGGUAACUGGGGUGAAGUCGUAACAAGGUAUC